GAUGAACGCUGGCGGCGUGCCUAAUACAUGCAAGUCGAGCGAACGGACGAGAAGCUUGCUUCUCUGCUGUUAGCGGCGGACGGGUGAGUAACACGUGGAUCACCUACCUAUAAUACUGGGAUAACUUCGGGAAGCCGGAGCUAAUACCGGAUGAUAUUUUGAACCGCAUGGUUCAAAAGAGAAAGACGGUCUUGCUGUCACUUAUAGAUGGUUCCGUGCUGCAUUAGCUAGUUGGUAAGGUAACGGCUUACCAAGGCAACGAUGCGUAGCCGACCUGAGAGGGUGAUCGGCCACACUGGAACUGAGACACGGUCCAGACUCCUACGGGAGGCAGCAGUAGGGAAUAUUACGCAAUGGGCGAAAGCCUGACGGAGCCAUGCCGCGUGAGUGAUGAAGGUCUUCGGAUCGUAAAACCCUGUUAUUGGGGAAGAACAGAUGUGGAAUUAACUGUGGACAUCUUGACGGUACCUAAUCAGAAAGCAACGGCUAACUACGUG
rnacentral:rRNA from 1 species